rnacentral:rRNA from 1 species
AUUGAACGCUGGCGGCAUGCCUUACACAUGCAAGUCGAACGGUAACAGGUCUUCGGAUGCUGACGAGUGGCGAACGGGGGAGUAAUACAUCGGAACGUGCCCGAUCGUGGGGGAUAACGAGGCGAAAGCUUUGCUAAUACCGCAUACGAUCUACGGAUGAAAGCGGGGGAACUUCGGACCUCGCGCGGACGGAGCGGCCGAUGGCAGAUUAGGUAGUUGGUGGGAUAAAAGCUUACCAAGCCGACGAUCUGUAGCUGGUCUGAGAGGAUGAUCAGCCACACUGGGACUGAGACACGGCCCAGACUCCUACGGGAGGCAGCAGUGGGGAAUUUUGGACAAUGGGCGAAAGCCUGAUCCAGCCAUGCCGCGUGCAGGAUGAAGGCCUUCGGGUUGUAAACUGCUUUUGUACGGAACGAAAAGCCUCUUUCUAAUAAAGAGGGGUCAUGACGGUACCGUAAGAAUAAGCACCGGCUAACUACGUG